AUGUUUGGGAGCAUUACCUCCGCCCACAUGAGUUUGUCAUACAUACCGAUCAUGAGACACUUAAGUACCUUAAAAGGUCAAACCAAGUUGAAUAAACAGCAUGCUAAAUGGAGCGAAUUUAUUGAAUCUUUCCCUUAUGUGAUCAAGUACAUUAAGAGCAAAGAAAAUGUUGUGGCGGAUGCUCUUUCCCGCAAAUGCAUGUUAAUUACUCAACUUGAAUUGAAUGUUGUCGGAUUUGAUCAUAUCAAAGAUUUUUAUGAGCACGAUGUGACUUUUGCUACUCCUUUUGCUAAGUGUGUGACGUAUACAUCUUGGGAACGAUAUUAUAUUGAAGAUGGUUAUCUAAUGAGAGCUAACAAACUAUGCAUCCCCGAGUCUUCUCUUCGUUUGUUAUCUUUGCAAGAGGCUCAUGGAGGCGGACUCAUGGGACAUUUUGGACGCAACAAGACUUUUGCCAUGCUCUCCAAGAACUACUUUUGGCCCAAGAUGUUCUGCGAUGUCUCACGCUUCACUAACCGGUGCUCUACAUGCCGCAAAGCUAAGUCACAAUCUCAAUCCCAUGGUUUACGUAUGCCACUUCCUAUUCCACAUCAACCAUGGGAAGAUAUUAGCAUGGAUUUUGUGCUUGGAUUACCUAGGACUUAA
rnacentral:rRNA from 1 species